AUUACUCUGUCAAACAUAAUCCUUAUUUAUCCGCAUUGUUUUGAAUUAAUCUUGCAUUAUCUCAUAGCUCUGAGAUUUCAAUGACGUGACUGCUUAUUUUUAGAAUGACAUUGUAGGGUAAGUGGGAGAGGCUGGAUCAGGCCAGUUUCAACAUAGAACCGUGAGAAUAUUUGGGCCAAAAUAUGAUGGG